GCCGGAAUAGCUCAGUCGGUAGAGCAACUGAUUCGUAAUUAGUAGGUCGGAGGUUCGAUUCCUCUUUCCGGCACCA
rnacentral:tRNA from 6 species